rnacentral:rRNA from 1 species
UACGUAGGGGGCAAGCGUUGUCCGGAUUUAUUGGGCGUAAAGAGCGUGUAGGCGGCCAGACAGGUCCGUUGUGAAAACUCGAGGCUCAACCUCGAGACGGCCGAUGGAAACCGUCUGGCUAGAGUCCGGAAGAGGAGAGUGGAAUUCCUGGUGUAGCGGUGAAAUGCGCAGAUAUCAGGAAGAACACCCGUGGCUAAGGCGGCUCUCUAGUACGGUACUGACGCUGAGACGCGAAAGCGUGGGGAGCGAACAGG